UUUAUUGUAGCAUUGUAUUUAUGACAUUUUCUCUGAUUGAUCUGAAGUUAUAGGAAUUUGGCAUGAUAUUGUACAAACAACAUUUUCUGUGAAUUAUAUGGGGUGUGUAAUGAAAAUGCCAUGGAGUGGAGAAAUUCUAGAUGCUCUUGAAAGUUAAUUGUUGGCCAUGGAACUGUAAAUGCUGACCUCUGUCUAAGCAAGGAAACUGUUAAGGUCACAAUGAGUCUGGAAUUGUGUGCAUAUACAUGUUCAGUUCAGUUUUUAUCUGAGACCCAACAGAAUACUGUACAAGAAGAGGCAAAGGAAACGGACUGAAGACGUGAAGGUGCUGAAGACGAGAAGCGAUACCAGUUUUUGUAUAAAUACAGAAGCCAGUGCAGCCAAGAUCGACACUGAUGGUAAUCCCCAUCUAAUGAACAUCCUGCUAACUUGACCUUAGAUUUACCACCAUUCAUACCAGAAGUUUGAAAUCAAUGGAGAGGAGAGUGGCUAUGGAGAAAUAUGCUGAGGGAAACAUGAAGAAAGAAAACAUGACGGCCUUAGUGAAAGAAAUGAUAUUGGCUAUUUCACAGAAGAGGAGGGAAGAAUUCAAGAAGUUUUU